ACAAAUUUAUAGUCGAAUCGUAGUGUUUUUCUAUUGUUUCGAAAUAAAUUUGUUAAUAUCAUAACAAAUAAUGGUCCGAAAAUUUGUGUACAUAAAUACAAAAAAAAAUAUAAGACGGUAGUUCUGUUUUAAAUUAUCCAGCAUUUACUCUGGGUAUUAGGUAUCUUUUAAGAUUGAUAACCUCAGAUUUUUUUAUAAAAUAUAUGAUUUACUUGAAUGUGAUGAUACUGAUACAUUUUUUUCUAUGAAAUGUGGGUAGGUAGUAUAGUGCGAUAACAGUUCAAUAUAGUAUGUUCUACAAUGUUUUUAUCUUUUAAUAAGAUAAUGUGAAAGUUUUUGCUUUUUAUCUUUUGUUGUGUUAAAUUUUGGCUAAGUGCCAAGAGAAGAAUAGGUGCAAAGCAAAAUUUUAAGUGAAUUUUCAGACCAUAUCCACUAUUAGCGUAGUAUGUUCGGGAAAAGAAAAAAAGCGUUUGUAGUAAGAACAAGUAUACAAAGGAUUAACAAAUAUACGUUAUCUAUUUAACACUGAUUGAAUAUUGUGAAGUAAUUUGAAAGAUAUAGAAUUAUGUUAGCAUGUGUUUAAGUUAUGAAAAUUAUUAUAAAGUUAUGAUAAGAAAUUAUUCAGAAAUACUAAUCACAAAGGAAACGAAUAGGGUCCGAAUAGAAUCCUUUAUAAAUGUCUUAUUUAGUAUUUUGACGGGGUACAAAAUAGCAUCAGUCUGAGCAUAAUCGGCUGGGCUAUUACGUAAAAUUCAGCAAUCGACGAAACCAUCGCAAAGCAAAAGCCAAGCCAUAGCGAUCAAUUGCUAAUUGUUUAAAAUUUUGGUAUCACGUAACCAUUCGUUUGCUUAUCGCUCGCUGUCCGCUCUGAGCGAAUAUAAUGCAGUUUUUGCUAGAACACUAGCGCCAAAAACCAUCAGAAGGCAAUCAAUGGAACUAUUUAACGUCAAACUUAAAACAUCUGAUUGUAUUGUUACAAAUAAAUGGUAAACAUUGCUUUUUUUGGUAUUUCAUCCCUGUGUUAAUGAAAAUCAUAUUCGACACAGUCCACUCUAAAUUUCAACAAAAAUCAUGAAGUGCGCCAUGAACAGUUAGUGAAACAUUGAAACAUGUGUUAAACAUUGUGUAAGGAUUGUUGAAAGUUAACAAGUAAAAUAACUAAGCUUCCAAUAGUACUUCGUUAAAGAGAUGAUGGAACCAAAUCUACUUUGGAUUUUAUACGGCAUUGAUGUAUUUUAGAAACAAGGAUAUCAAGAUGAACAGAGUGUCAAAAGAACAGCUUGAGGUUUUGUUGGAGUUUUUAUAGUUCUUACAAGAACAUCAUUCUUUAGUCAAAGACAUAGACUCGGCACCACAUUCAAGAAAACUUUCGAUAGUCAGUGGAAACAUCUACCGAUAAAGCUGAACUCUAUUGGUUUAGGUUCUUCCAAAACUGGAGAGCAUUUGAAACGUACUGGGCUGAAAUUAAAUAGAGCAAAACCAGACUUGCUAAACAUAGAUGGAGUCUUCUGACUGACUGACUGGCAGCGGUCUGAGUACACCAAAAAUAUAUUUCCGAGAUGGACAAAAAAAUCUGUCAUUGGAGAACAGGCUCUGUUUGGGAUGUAGAAAACAGAGUUCCAAUAUUGUAAACUUUACCAUAAAUAUUAUGUAUGUUAAAGAAAAAAAAAAGAUUUUUAUUUAAUAACUAGCCUUGCCAACUUCACAACAUGUCAAACAUUUAACUUUUUUUUAUUUUAUGUUUUCUUGUGUAGUUCACAUUAAUAAUAAUCACAUUGAAAUAUAGUUUAUUUCACUCAGGAAUAAUGUAGCUUUCUACUGGUAAUAGAAUUUAAAAAAUGAAUUCAGUAUUUCCAGAAUUAACUUACUGCUAACAAUCUUAUUAACUUAGAUUUUCACACACUAAUUUGAGUAAUUAAUUAAAUCAUUUUUUUGUUUUUAAAAUGUACAUAGUACUUACAUGUAUACAGUAGCAUGUUUUAUAUAAAUAAAAAUGCCGUUUAGAAUUUGA